rnacentral:rRNA from 1 species
CAGCAGCCGCGGUAAUACAGAGGGUGCGAGCGUUAAUCGGAUUUACUGGGCGUAAAGCGUGCGUAGGCGGCUUUUUAAGUCGGAUGUGAAAUCCCUGAGCUUAACUUAGGAAUUGCUUUCGAUACUGGGAAGCUAGAGUAUGGGAGAGGAUGGUAGAAUUCCAGGUGUAGCGGUGAAAUGCGUAGAGAUCUGGAGGAAUACCGAUGGCGAAGGCAGCCAUCUGGCCUAAUACUGACGCUGAGGUACGAAAGCAUGGGGAGCAAACAGGAUUAGAUACCCCAGUAGUCCCUGUCUCUUAUAC